rfam:Aedes aegypti strain Liverpool supercont1.196 genomic scaffold, whole genome shotgun sequence.
GGCUCGGUAGCUUAGAUGGUAAAGCGUUCGUCUAGCAUACAAGAGUUCUGGGUUCGAAUCACGACCGAGCAC